rnacentral:lncRNA from 1 species
CUUAGCUACCUACAAGCUGUCCAAGGCCGCCCACUGAGCUGCCGAUGGCUGCAGAAGGUGGCCCGGAGCCUGGCACUGGCCCUGCUGUGCCUUGUGCUGUCCACUUGCGUGGGCCCCUACCUCUUCCCGUACUUCAUCCCCCUCGACGGUGACCGCCUCCUUCGCAAGUGAGCACAGCCUUCGAGGCCCCUGCCCAGCAAUGAGGGGGUUGGGUAGGGACCCGCGGUUUCCCCAGUUCUGAGCCUGUCUCUUAAUGCUUCUUUCUGUCUUCUGUUACUACAGCAAGAAACGCAAAGCCAGGUAAAUGAGGGCAGGUGUGAGGGCACGUGGAGUGGGGCUGACAUGAGUGGGGGCAGAGCCCAUGACCAAUGGGUUCUGUGUGUCCAAGUGUGUCUGACCGUCAACUCCAUGACUAGACAGAGACUGUGGUUGGCUGGCUGGCUGACGAAGCUUGGCUCUGUGACUCUGUUUGACUGACACUCCAACACAUACUGUCUCUGGCUGUCCAUCUGUUCAGCUGUCUCGCUGUUAGAAGCAAGUCAUAUUAACUGUCAUGGAGAGUGACAAGUAUGUGUUGGUUGGGUGACUUUAACCUGUCAGUGACUCUGUCUAGGGAUAUGUAUGAUGUAUGUUUGUCUAUUGGCCACUGACCCCCGAAUGUAAGCCUGUGAGUGGCUGUCUGGCUGUGCCAUCAUCAGUGAUAGGGUAUGUGGCUGUCAUUGGAUAAGAUAAAUCUGUGUUCAAGAUUCUGACUUUUUGUAGCUUUGGCCAGGAAUGGGUCUGACUGUGGCAUGUCAUAUGCCUGUCUGUGGAGUUCAUGGACUACCUCUGCCUGUGUGUCUGCCUUCCCUGAUGGCUUGGUGUUGUCUAGCUGAGGGGUUGUACCCGACUCUGGUCUGUGCCUGUCUGCAGGACUGACUGCCUCUAGUUUGACUAUAGGGUUUGAUCUGGCUCUUUGGUUGUAUGGCCCCUCCCCUACUCCCUGGCUGCUGAUUAGGUCUAAUGCCGAAUGAGUCUCCAAAAGGUCAAGUGACUUGACCAGUGUCACCCAGCUAAGCAGCCAGGCAUGAAUCCCAGGCCUAACUUCAGAACCUAUGCUUUUUCCAACGCAGGAUGCUGCCUGUUUUUGACCAUGUCUGAUUACAACUAGUAGGGGGGGUGUGUGUGUGCACAGCAGGGUGUUUGAUGGUCUCUGCGCCCAGCUCAGGGAUUUUUGGCUGUCCUGUAGUCGCUGAGUCAGGUUAGAGCAUUGCAAGGCUGGGAGUCUGAUAAGAUUUGUGUCUGGCUGUUAGAGGGUGCAGGUCUGUGAAGUCGGGCCUCUGAUGGUGGCUAGCUUUGGCCGUCUGGCCACAUGAGCCUGCAGGGCCAUGCCAUAUUAUAGGACAGCUCAUGCAUCCAUUUGAGCCACAUAAGACUAACUGCCUGAGGGUGGAUGUCUGUGUGUGACUAUCAUAGUUCACCUUUUUUGCGGCUACAUUUCGUCUGUCUUGUCUGAACAAUUCAGACCAGCCUCCAAG